rnacentral:rRNA from 1 species
UUUUGAUCUUCAAAAUUCAUUGGAGGGCAAGUCUGGUGCCAGCAGCCGCGGUAAUUCCAGCUCCAAUAGCGUAUAUUAAAAUUGUUGCAGUUAAAAAGCUCGUAGUUGAAUUUCUGCUGCAUCGUCGCAUCUCUUGCUGAGUGCUUCGUUUCGGCUUAUUUCGGAUUGAUUUUUUCUUUCCGGAUGAUUACUUUGAGAAAAUUAGAGUGCUCAAAGCAGGCUUUUGCCUUGAAUAGUUUAGCAUGGAAUAAUAAAGUAGGACUUUGGUUCUAUUUUGUUGGUUUUAGGUACCAAAGUAAUGGUUAAUAGGAACAGUUGGGGGCAUUCGUAUUUAACUGUCAGAGGUGAAAUUCUUAGAUUUGUUAAAGACGAACUACUGCGAAAGCAUUUGCCAAGGAUGUUUUCAUUAAUCAAGAACGAAAGUUAGGGGAUCGAAGACGAUCAGAUACCGUCGUAGUCCUAACAAUAAACUAA